rnacentral:lncRNA from 1 species
GAACCUACUGAAUUCACCAUGAUACUUAGAUUCGGUCCCUGAAAAUGUUGCUAUAUCUUGAAGAGUACAGUUACACAAGCAUGUCCUAUUGUGAACUCACUGAAUUCACCUGAAAUUUUGAUUCACAUUAGUGAAAAAUUUUCGGUAUCCGGAAAAGUCCACCUAUUACUCUUGCGACCUACUGGGAAGUAACUGAAUUCAGCAAGUAAUUCAGAUUCACCAGGAAAAUUUUUGAUAAAUCUUCAAAACUACACUUCUUACUGCUGAUGGGAACUACCUGAAUUCACAAUGUGUUUCAGUUCGUUAAAAUGUUGAUGUAUCUUGAAUGGUACCAUUAUUAUAAGCGCGUCCUAUUUUGAACCUACUGAAUUCACCAUGAUACUUAGAUUCGGUCCCUGAAAAUAUUGCUAUAUCUUGAAGAGUACAGUUACACAAGGAUGUCCUGUUGUGAACUCACGGAAUUCACCUGAAAGUUUGAUUCCAUUGGUGAAAAUUUUUCUAUAUCCCGAAAAGUCCACUUACUACUAUUGCGACCUACUGGGAACUAACUGAAUUUGCCAAGUUACUUAGAUUCGGCUCGCGAAAUUUUGAUAAAUCUUUCAAAGUACACAUAUUAUUAGAGCCUUCUAAUGGGAACUACCUGAAUUAAUAAAGAAACUAUGCUUCAA